rnacentral:misc_RNA from 1 species
GUGAAUCAUCGAAUCUUUGGACGCAAAUUGCGCUUCCUGGUAUCCCGGGAAGUAUGCCUGUUUGAGGGUCAGUAUUAACAAAAAAUCGGUUUGGUUGCAAAUUGUGACGUUUCCGGAGUUUGGGCUAUCUUAACUUUUUUGGUUAAGGGGCUUAAAAUUGACCUUUUUUGCGCAUUUUUAGACGUAUAUAUUUUUUUUUUUUUUUCCUCUAUUUUUUAUGCCAAUAUCAUUUGA